rnacentral:rRNA from 1 species
AGAGUUUGAUUCUGGCUCAGAACGAACGCUGGCGGCGUGGAUAAGACAUGCAAGUUGAGCGAAAUCUGCAGGUAGUAAUAUUUGCAGGUUUAGCAGCGUAAGGGUGCGUAACACGUGAGUGAUCUGCCUUAAAGCACUGAAUAACUGCGAGAAAUCGCAGCUAAUGUAGUAUGUGGUCCCGCAUUCAAUUGUGUGACUAAAGUCGGGAUUACUGACGCUUUAAGAUGAGCUUGCGCCCUAUCAGCUAGUUGGUGAGGUAAAAGCUCACCAAGGCUUAGACGGGUAGCUGGUCUGAGAGGACGACCAGCCACACUGGAACUGAGACACGGUCCAGACACCUACGGGUGGCAGCAGUCGAGAAUUUUUCUCAAUGGGCGAAAGCCUGAAGGAGCGACGCCGCGUGGGGGAUGAAUGGCUUCGGCCCGUAAACCCCUGUCAUUUGUGAACAAAUCUUGCAUCAUAAUACGUUGUAAGUUGAUUGUAGCGAAAGAGGAAGGGACGGCUAACUCUGUGCCAGCAGCCGCGGUAAUACAGAGGUCCCAAGCGUUGUUCGGAUUUACUGGGCGUAAAGGGUGCGUAGGCGGCCGGGCAAGUCUAUCGUGAAAUCUUCAAGCUUAACUUGGAAACUGCGACGGAAACUGCCUGGCUAGAGGUUUUGAGGGGAAGCCGGAAUUCUCGGUGUAGCAGUGAAAUGCGUAGAUAUCGAGAGGAACAUCAGUGGCGAAAGCGGGCUUCUGGAAAAAAUCUGACGCUAAGGCACGAAAGCUAGGGGAGCAAACGGGAUUAGAUACCCCGGUAGUCCUAGCCAUAAACGGUGCAUGUUUGCCGUAAGCAGAAUAAACCCUGCUUGUGGCGUAGUUAACACGAUAAACAUGCCGCCUGGGAAGUACGGUCGCAAGACUAAAACUCAAAGAAAUUGACGGGGGCCUGCACAAGCGGUGGAGUAUGUGGCUUAAUUCGAUGCAACGCGAAGAACCUUACCUAGCCUUGACAUGCGACUAUUAGUUGUACGAAAGUAUGAUGAGGUAGCAAUACCAGGUCGCACAGGUGCUGCAUGGCUGUCGUCAGCUCGUGUCGUGAGAUGUUGGGUUAAGUCCCGCAACGAGCGCAACCCCUUUUCCAUGUUGCUAACUAAGUUUAAUCUUGGUGCACUCUGGGAAGACUGCCUCGCCUAAACGAGGAGGAAGGUGGGGAUGACGUCAAGUCAGUAUGGCCCUUACGGCUAGGGCUGCACACGUACUACAAUGCCGGAUACAAAAAGAAGCAAUACCGUAAGGUGGAGCAAAUCUCGAAAAUCCGGCUCAGUUCAGAUUGUCGUCUGCAACUCGACGACAUGAAGCUGGAAUCGCUAGUAAUGGCGCAUCAGCUACGGCGCCGUGAAUACGUUCCCAGGCCUUGUACACACCGCCCGUCACAUCAUGAAAGCCAGAUGUACCCAAAGAAGCAUUUAUGUUUUUAAGGUAUGACUGGUGAUUGGGAUGAAGUCGUAACAAGGUA